AUCGGAAACGCGCAUGCAAAUUAAGGAAUUCGCUUCAGCAAGAGCUGAAUGUCAACUAGUCAAAGAUGGAGUCUUGGAGCUGAGAGGCCGACAGGCUGGCCACGGAUAAAUUACAAUUUACAUUACCAAGACAAUGCGAAGAACGAAUGCGCAAGGAUGACAAGAUGGCGUUGGUUAAACUGGAUCAAUGCGAAGGAGCUGGUUGGAGAUUAUUGAUGCCCCCUAUAUUUUUCUGCCUUGCAAUCAUUUGGUCCAACUUUUCUCUCUCUUUUUUUGUCGUUUCCUCUUCUGCUUUCAAGGAUUGUCCCACCUUUUGGCCAGGUACCAUUCAUGAAAUUCGGGAGGGGGGUCCCUGUUUCUGUUUGUGAGUAGCAUCAUCCGGGUGAUUUCUCGGAAAUGGCGGGAGCUGAAGGCAAAAUCGACAAUAUCGUGUCGCUUUGGCCUAUGCAAUUUUCAGUAGAUGCAUUAAUCUUAAUACGAAAUUAAUUUCAUUAAAUUAAAAAGCAGGCAGACUAACAGGCUUGGGACAUAUUAAUGUCAUUUGGCUUUGCAUGUGGUCAGAAUCUCACAGUAGUGGAGAGUGAAAAUGCCAGGCUCGGUUCAGCAGCUCCCGCCCCCUCACUUCACCCCCCGUACAGGAGGAGAGGAGUGGAGGACAGGAGGGGGGUUUCAAAUUGCCACUUUGGCAAAAGGGAUAAGAAUAGUACAUAUUAAAUGAAGGAUUCAGGUAUUGUAUCGCGGAAUGUGCUCUUUGCCCCAUUUCCCCCCUCUUCCUUCGUUUCCUAUUCGAAGGCAUCGAAUUAAUGUUUUUUUUUCUCUCUCUCUCUUUCCAAUCGCUGUGCUGGUGUAAUGUUUAUUUUCACACUCAUUUCACAAAAGAUAUUGAUCAUGUCCCCCCCCCCUUUUUUUUCUUAUGGGAAGCAGUGUUAUUUGUGUGGCAAAGUGAGUUCAAUACUUCAUAAAGUUAAUUUGCUAUUUUUUAUGACUUCUUGUAGGAAUUCUUAUAAGCUAUUUUGGAG
ensembl:lncRNA